rnacentral:rRNA from 1 species
UACGAAGGGGGCUAGCGUUGCUCGGAAUCACUGGGCGUAAAGGGUGCGUAGGCGGGUUUUUAAGUCAGAGGUGAAAUCCUGGAGCUCAACUCCAGAACUGCCUUUGAUACUGAGAAUCUUUGAGUAUGGGAGAGGUGAGUGGAACUGCGAGUGUAGAGGUGAAAUUCGUAGAUAUUCGCAAGAACACCAGUGGCGAAGGCGCUCACUGGCCCAUAACUGACGCUGAGGCACGAAAGCGUGGGGAGCAAACAGGG